rnacentral:lncRNA from 1 species
GAGGGUUCCUCAAUUAUCGAAGAGGAAUUGGAUAGUGCUGACCAGACAAAGUUGGGCUUACGACGUUAAAACUAGCGCUACUUGGGAGGCAACCCAAGCUCUAAACCUUUUCUUCCUUAUUUAUUCUUUAUAAUUUAGUUUAUAGUCUAGCUCAAAUAUUUAGUUUUCAAAGAUUAAUGACUCCAUAAUGGUAUGCUCGCAGGUAAGGCAAGAAAAAGAGAGUCACCAAGCUACUG